rnacentral:lncRNA from 1 species
AAAGAGAAGAGUGGUUCAAGUCCGUACGCUAUAGCCAAAUACAUGGAAGAGAAGCACAAGGCGGUGCUUCCAGCGAAUUUCAGGAAAAUCUUAGGUCUUCAGCUUAAAAACUCAGCUGCCAGAGGCAAGCUGAUAAAGAUCAAGGCCUCUUACAAGCUCUCCGAAGCCGGCAAAAAAGAGAAAGCCCCUGUUACAAAAGCUAAGACAGAGAAGAAAGCUAAGCCAGCUUCGAAGCCGAAGAAAGCUGAGGCUACAAAGAAGCCAACAAAGAGAGUCGGGGCCAAGAAGAAAUCAACUCCAGCAAAGGCGAAGCAGCCUAAAUCUAUCAAGUCACCUGCGGCUAAAAAGGCCAAGAAGGCCGCUGCUUAGAACAAAUGUGUA